GCUGGAGUGCUUGUAACCGCAGUUCUGAAGUGGCAGAGACAGGAAGUCAUUCUAGUCUCGUAGGUGGACUCUAGGCCAGGGAAGAGGUCUAUUUCAACUGGGUUUGAUGGCAAGGCUGGCCUAACUCAAUGUGUAGCAGAGAUGACUUUGUCUUAUCCUGUAUCUGCCACCUGAAUGCUGACAUCUCAGAACUUCUCCAUCACACCCAGUUUACAUGGUGCUGAGGACGGAAACCAGGCUUCAUGCAUCCUAGCUGGGCAAGUGCUUUGCCCAAGUCCAAAUCAUGCCUUCUCCGUUGAGAAAGGGCUUAGCAUCCUGUCUGUCCAUCUCUUCCCGUUUUGAGCACAAUACACAGUCACUUCACAGCAUCGCUGGGGUCCAGGCACACCUGUCCCUUGGACAGAGCACACAUCUGCUCUGGCUUCAGCUGGGCCAUCCCAUUGAAGCCCCCACAGGCCCAAGUAUGGGUCGUGAAUCCCUAGUGUUAACUGGUGUAGAACUGGCCCAGGAUAAGGUUGGCCAACACCAACCCUCUCCCCCCAUAUUUCUACUCCUUUAAUUUAGGAUGUGGGACCUAGACGGCUCUUCUCCCACCCUCGGGAAUCAAACUUAGGGGCUCAUGGCCCCAGCCGACACAAGGUAAGAAACAAGUGCCCUGUGUUUUGCAGCGUACAGUAUUGGCAGCGUAAUAAAGUGGAUGUAGCAGUCAGCACUAACUGUAACAAGAAGUGC
rnacentral:lncRNA from 1 species